UUUCCGUAGGUGAACCUGCGGAAGGAUCAUUAUUGUAUAACCGAGGUUCGAGGGCUGUCGCUGAUCCGACUGGUCAUGUAGGCCCCAGUGCCCUCACACUCAUCUAUCUCACUCCUAUGUGCACCACCGCGUGGCUUCCCCUUUGGCUUGUUCGGAGGGAGGCUGACGUUUUCAUACAAACUUUUUAUGCAGAGAAGACUGUUUUUUUUGUUUUUGCGUUCACGCUAACAAUACAACUUUUAACAACGGAUCCUCUGGCUCUAGCAUCGUUCAAGAACG
rnacentral:misc_RNA from 1 species